AAUCCAUAGGUUAAUGAGGCGAACCGGGGGAACUGAAACAUCUAAGUACCCCGAGGAAAAGAAAUCAACCGAGAUUCCCCCAGUAGCGGCGAGCGAACGGGGAGGAGCCCAGAGCCUGAAUCAGCAUGUGUGUUAGUGGAAGCGUCUGGAAAGGCGCGCGAUACAGGGUGACAGCCCCGUACACAAAAGCGCAUGUGCUGUGAGCUCGAUGAGUAGGGCGGGACACGUGGUAUCCUGUCUGAAUAUGGGGGGACCAUCCUCCAAGGCUAAAUACUCCUGACUGACCGAUAGUGAACCAGUACCGUGAGGGAAAGGCGAAAAGAACCCCGGCGAGGGGAGUGAAAAAGAACCUGAAACCGUGUACGUACAAGCAGUGGGAGCCCCACCACCAAAGCAUUUGCUGUACCGCGUUGACGGAGCGAAGCGACGUCAAACCGAUAAAACAGCAGUGUAAAGUGAGCCGCAGGG
rnacentral:rRNA from 3 species